rnacentral:tRNA from 1 species
GGGGAUUUAGCUCAAUGGUAGAGCGCUUGCCUAGCAAGCGCAAGGCCCUGGGUUCGGUCCCCAGCCCCG